GAUUGGACAGCUCUGGUCUGGAGAAUCAUCACGACCAGUGGAAGAGGCACCCCAGAGAGCUCCCACUGAUGACCGUCACGAAGCUCCUGAUUGACCGUAAGGGUGACGGCGAUAGCGAGGAGGACCACGAGCACUCCAGGAAUACUCAGACUACUACCAGGGUGCAUCUGGUUCGUGACGAGUGAAAAAUGUCUGUGUUUUCCUGGUCUGGCGGGAUUCCAGCUUCUGCACACGUUACGAUUCUAAUGAAGAAAACUAAGAGGCAACAUCCCUUUCCAGCAGAACACCAGCUUCAUUGAGGAUCCCCCUUGCUAUAGAAGAAGUCGGUUCUGCAUGUCCCAGACUGGAAGUCAUGUAACUGAACUUGCGGGAAGGAAGGAAACCUGAGUGCUGGGGAAAUGGGUAAGCCACAGAACAGUUUUGUGGUGGGCACUGGAGCGGUCUGAAUAGAAAGAGUCCAUGAGAAUUCUUGAGGGCAGAGCCGCGCUGGGCUGACAAGGGGCAGAAGAUAAGGUGGGGAGGUUGGAGAUGAGACCCGUUGUUAAGUCUGAUAUCUCGGGAGGAAGUUGAUGCUCUCUUAGCUCAGUGAGAGAUACCUUUGACUGAGUCCCUGCAAAAGUAAUCCGAAUUCUAUCUAAAGACAGCAUCCUCAGACUAGAUCACAGAGUUUUCUAAGAAUAUGAUCUGUUAAGGUAAUGUCAAUAUAAACUUCCAAUCUGAGAUCACACUAACCAAACAACCCCCGAUAGACAAGAGCCAGGAGGAAAAAGGAACAACAAAGUUAGGUGUUCUAGGGCUGAUUUAUCAGAAUGUUUCAGAGAGAGAAUACCAAAUACAAAUAUGUCAUCGAAACAACUGAAGUUGGAAUCACUAAAAUGAGUCAACAAUAAGAGGUAUCAAAAAUGACAAAACAAGAUUUGAAAAAGAACCAAAUGAUACUUUAUAUUCUUUUCAAAUUUAUUGAAAAUUAAUACCCACACAAUAAAUAUAACACAGUUUGUGGGCAACAAAGAGAAAACAGACCCCAAGAUAGCAUUGGCUUAAGGAUGGAAAGAAGCCAAGAAUGAU